GUAUUUAGAAUUAUGUUAUUCAAAAUAGCUUAAGACAAAAAAAUUAAAGUAAAGGUUGGUAUUAUGCUGACGUGACGCGUGAACGACGCGUCAGCAAACAUUGCACACAAGGUGAGUACUUGUUUAAAAAGUGCAGUAGAACACUUAUUAUGAAUGAUCCUUCCGCAGGUUCACCUACGGAAA
rnacentral:misc_RNA from 1 species